GGAUGUGAGGGCAAUCUGGCUGCAAACAUCUGUCACCUCACUGAUCGCCAGGGUUGAUUCGGCUGAUCUGGCUGGCUAGGCGGGGGUCUCCUUCCUCCCUCACCGCUCCAUGUGCGACCCUCCUGAAGUUGUGCACUCUAUUGAAGAGGACGACCACCCCCGAUAGAGGAGGACCGUUUCCUCCAUCAAGGUUAUAUGAGUAGCUGCGCUCCCCCGCUAGAAUCUCCAAACAAGCUCUCUAAGAGUUGCCAAAGCAUUGUUGAAAAGUUCAGGUCUAAAGUCUCUGAGAUUUAAGGCAAAGUCUUAGCU
rnacentral:snRNA from 1 species